AGGCCCAGCCCACGGUGCAGCGCGCGCGGAGCCCUCGCCUUCCUCCGACGCACUGUGGGGCUGCAGGGGAAGCUGCGGGCCGUGGGGGCCGGAGGAGAAGCCGGCUCCACGCGCAGCUGCUGUACGGAACGCCGUGGUGACAAUUGUUAUUACUAUUUUUAUGCUUAAUGGCAAUGACCACUAUUAUUUAUUAUUUUCUCUCGAUUACAGGAUGCUUUACUUGGGUGUCUAGAAUAUGGGCUGGCAUUCUUUAAGGCUGCACUUUUGUGCAGCCGGGUCCCGGGGCUAAUUUUGCAGUGCUCUCGAAAAGCGGGCAUUCGGUUUUCUUUCUCUUCCUUUCAUGCAACCUGUUUUCUCUUUCUGAUCCUUUAAAGUUCCUGGCUGAGGCUGGAUUGUGUAGAAAUAAGGGCAUUAGGGAUCCAAGCGGGCCAUAAAAGAAACCCAUUUCUCACUGUCAUCGUCCUCUGUUCUGGUUAUCAUAUUGUGACGUGUCGCCUCUGUCAUGGUGUUGAUGAACCUGUGUGUGCAGUCAUAGAUACAUCGUGUGUGUUUGCAAAAAUGUGCGUGUUUCUCUGGAGAUUUGAGGGGGAAAGAGCACUAGAAAGAGCUCAUCUGAUAGAUGCGGAAAUCCGAACUCAGAAAGUAAACUAGGUAGAGCUUCCUUCCAGGUUUGGUUUUUUCUAAGUACUAGCGCAGGAACUUUAUAACAGAAGUUGGAAAAUGAGAGACUUCUGUAUAAAUCUUUCUAGCUUUGGGGAUCUUUCAAGAUUCACACCAUAACCAUGUCUUCCUUUUUCUCCUUAGUAGCAAACAUGUUUUAAAACAAUCAAUGAAAAAAGUAGAAAAGUUUUAACAAAAAAGUAAUCAGACUCUGGAAAAUAUUAUGCAACUUGUUUUCCUUUACAGUAGUAGUGUACUGUUUCUUUUCCUUGUAAGUUUACUGUGUCCCAAUUAUACUGCUGCCCCAGACUAUGAAUUUAUUUCCACUUUUGCUGUUAUCUACACCAUAGAUUCAUUAGUUUCUCAGAAAUACAAAGCUGAAAAUAAAAGGCAGCUCUGUGGCUAAGAUUAGUCUCAAGUAAUAUAUAUCGUGCAUAUUUUGUAAAUGUGAAAAAAGGUUUAUAUUUUUAAGCAUAAAAAAUGACAGUGUAAAUUGAGUCAGGUACCUAUGCUCUUCAAGAUCGUUGGAACCAUGAGAACUACAGGAAUUCAGUUUUACUGACUGACGUUUGGCCUUUAAAAUUUAUGCUUAGCUUUGUGUAGUCGAAAGCAAGGCUUCUGAAUGCUUUUUCAAAAAAUGCUUUGUCACACUUGGAAUCCGCAGGCAUCCAGGUAUCAUUCCUUGCAGAUUUCUUCUAGCAAGUAUGAGACUAAAACCUAGGGCGGUUUAAUAUGUAAUCUCAGGUGUGAACAUUUUGUCUUCUAUUUCUACCACUUAGUACCAAACAUUUAGGCAAAUGAGAUAGUUAUUAUGAAAAUUAAAUCCAUGGCUUGGUAUAUUUUAUAUGUAUAUAUGUUAUUCUAACACAUCUGACUCGCUUUGUCUAUGGAAAUGAUAUAUCAGUAUAGGAUGAGUUUAGACAGGACAAACAAAAUUCAAUUUAGAUUAUUUUAUAGUUCUUAUAUUUUUGAAAAUAUUAUCCCCUCAAUUUUCUUUCUUCUUUUGUAAAAUAACGUGUUUUUGAAAUAAUGAAUAACUCCCUUUUGGAUUUUAAGGGUCUGCUUUUUCUGAUGUAUGUACGGUCAGCCUAUUUAUUUGUUCCGUCCCCUUUGCAGUUUGGCAGAACCUUAUGAAGAAGCUUCCCAAACUGAACCACAGUGCUUUCACUCUAUUAGCAAAUUGUACUAAAGAUGCCAGCGUAAUGAUGAGUGCCAAGGUUAUAGACAUCCUGCAUUUUUUAAAUGUUGCUAAAAUGAGAUAAAAGCCUUAUGCAGAAGCAACCGCAGGCACCCCGCAGGGCGAAUGAGGAAAGAUCCAGCUCUGACAGAAUAAUGAGUUGUGCAAAGUGAAGGCCAAAUGACAUCACCGGAGAUAGCAGUAGUUCAAAGAAAGCAAAGCAGAGGAAUUGAACUGCUGCAAAAUGCACGGAAUACCUGAGGCUGGGCAAUUUAUGAAGAAACAGACACAUUUGGCUCAUGGUUCAGCAGGCUGUACAAGAAGCAUGGUGCCAGCAUCUGCUUGUGGUGAGGGUCCAGGCUGCUUUCACUCAUGGCGGAAGGCAAAGGGGAGCUGGUGUGCAGAGAUCACACAGCAACAGCAGAAGCAAGAGAGAGGGGUAAGGUGCCAGACUCUAUUUAACAACCAGUUAUUAUGGGAACCAACAGCGAGGACUCACUCACUCACUUGCUCAGUAGUACCAAGCCAUUCAUGAGGGAUCCACCCCCAUGACCUAGACACCUCCCACCUCACAUUAAGCUUUACCUUCCACAUUGGAGAUCAAAUUUCAAUAUGAGCUUAAGGGGACAAACAUCCAAGCAUCCAAUAGCAGAUAAUUAACCUCAAAAUUAUCCUUGACUUGUCCUUCUCAUUUACCCUCAGUAGCCUCUGAAAUAUCUCUUAUGUUUGCCUCUUGCUCCCCAUGCCCCUUGCUACCAUCCCAGGCCUAGCGGUCAUUGCCCCAAACCUUGUCCACAGCCAUGGUUUCCUAACCCUUCUUGUUUCCAGCCACGUCCCCUCCAUUCCAUUUUUCUGCCACCAAACUAACCUAAAAUGGCCAAUUUCAUAGUUUCACUCUCUGCUGAUCAAAUUUCCUGAUUCUUUUUACCUAUGUUUGUUUUGUGUCAUCUUCAACAUUUUCUUACAUACAGUAAAUACUUGCUUAAUAAAAAGUACUAAGAGUGAUUGAAAUAAGGAAGUUCGGUCAUGUGAAUUCAUUGGAGCUAUGUUGACUAUCCUUUGGCCUAGUUUAUAGAAAAUUACCAGCUGAUUCAUAUCUCUAUUUAAGGAAUGGAGAACUUUGCCAGAAAUAUUUUUAUAUUGCAGCUGCAAAUAAGAUAGAGUUUUCAUCUGGACCUCAAUUUCCUUACCUUACAAUAGAGAAAAAUGCCACCUAUGGAUAUCCUAGAUUUGCUGGAAGUAUUACAUGUGAUGGAUUAAGGCACCCAGCAUGGGAUAUCCCACAGAUGCAAAAUGAAUCCUACUUGAGUCUUAGUACAAAAAGAUUGAAUGAAUGAAUUUGAUGGCAAAAUGAAAUGAUGAAUCAUUUUAUAUAAAUCACAAUUUAUAAAAUUCAGAUUCAACUAAAAUUUGGCACUAAUUAUGACCUCUGUGUUAGGUAUAUUAACACAUACAUCAUCUUCUCAUGUAUUCUUAGAAGUAACCCUGUGAUACAGGUGGUCUUUUUUUCAAUGUACAGACAAGUUUAGCUGAGAAAAGGGAAAAUGCCUUACUCCAGGAUUGUUGGUAUAUACUGGAAUUAGGGUUUGUCUCUAAGAUUUAUGAUUCCAUAUCUUUUUGUUUUACAUUUUUCUUUACUUUCUUUCUUUUUUUUUUAAGAUGGAGUCUUGC